AAGGCCUGAUGUGUGUGAGAUUACCCGCUGAAUUUAAGCAUAUAAGUAAGCGGAGGAAAAGAAACUAACUAGGAUUCCCUUAGUAAUGGCGAAUGAACAGGGAUCAGCUCAGUGCCAAAUCGGAAUCACUUGUGGUUCUGAAAUGUGGCUUGAAGGCAGUACCAGUGGCAUCGCGGACGAAAGUCUCUUGGAAAAGAGCGUCAUAGAGGGUGAGAAUCCCGUGAGUCGUUCGCCGUUUGUCACGUACGGUCUGCGUUCUAACGAGUCGCGUUCCUUGGGAUUGGAGCGUAAACGGGUGGUAAAUUUCAUCCAAAGCAAAAUAUAUACUCGAGACCGAUAGCACAAAAGUACCGUGAGGGAAAGGUGAAAAGAACUUUGAGAAGAGGGUUAAAUAGUGCCUGAAAUCGUUGAGAAGGAAGCGGAUGCCGCCGUUGCAUAUGCUGAUUGUAGGAUUGCUGCUCGCUCCUGUCUUCUGCUACUCAUUCACAGACCUGGUC
rnacentral:ncRNA from 1 species